GACGAACGCUGGCGGCGUGCUUAACACAUGCAAGUCGAACGGAAAGGCCCUGCUUUUGUGGGGUGCUCGAGUGGCGAACGGGUGAGUAACACGUGAGUAACCUGCCCUUGACUUUGGGAUAACUUCAGGAAACUGGGGCUAAUACCGGAUAGGAGCUCCUGCUGCAUGGUGGGGGUUGGAAAGUUUCGGCGGUUGGGGAUGGACUCGCGGGUUAUCAGCUUGUUGGUGGGGUAGUGGCUUACCAAGGCUUUGACGGGUAGCCGGCCUGAGAGGGUGACCGGCCACAUGGGGACUGAGAUACGGCCCAGACUGCUACGGGAGGCAGCAGUGGGGAAUAUUGCACAAUGGGCGGGAGCCUGAUGAAGCAACGCCGCGUGCGGGAUGACGGCCUUCGGGUUGUAAACCGCUUUCGCCUGUGACGAAGCGUGAGUGACGGUAAUGGGUAAAGAAGCACCGGCUAACUACGUG
rnacentral:rRNA from 1 species